rnacentral:misc_RNA from 1 species
CUGCUAAUCAAAUCCUUUAACUUUCUGAUGGCCUCUUCUUCAGUUACAACACCACUUCCAUGAAUCAUGUGCAAUGAGACAGCAUUCAAUUUCCCUUCUUUCGAUUCUCUCUGAAAGCCUCUCCAAUCAUUGAGUAGACGCCCACAAGUACUCAUAGCCUUAAAUAAAUCAUGUAAUUCAGGGUUUCUAACUUCCUCUUCU